rnacentral:rRNA from 1 species
GAUUAGUGGCGAACGGGUGAGUAACACGUGAGUAACCUGCCCCUUACUUUCCUGGAUAACUGCUCGAAAGGGUAGCUAAUACGGGAUAUUCUGACCAGUCUGCAUGGGUUGGUUUGGAAAGGUUUUUUCUGGUAAGGGAUGGGCUCGCGGCCUAUCAGCUUGUUGGUGGGGUGAUGGCCUACCAAGGCUUUGACGGGUAGCCGGCCUGAGAGGGUGGACGGUCACACUGGGACUGAGAUACGGCCCAGACUCCUACGGGAGGCAGCAGUGGGGAAUAUUGCACAAUGGGCGCAAGCCUGAUGCAGCGACGCCGCGUGAGGGAUGAAGGCCUUCGGGUUGUAAACCUCUUUCGUCAGGGAACAAGGCACUGUCUUUUUGGUGGUGUUGAGGGUACCUGGAUAAGAAGCGCCGGCUAACUACGUGCCAGCAGCCGCGGUAAUACGUAGGGCGCAAGCGUUGUCCGGAAUUAUUGGGCGUAAAGAGCUCGUAGGCGGCUGGUCGCGUCUGUCGUGAAAACUUCCGGCUCAACCGGGGGCUUGCGGUGGGUACGGGCCGGCUAGAGUGCGG